ACAUUUCCCAGCCCAAAGUCUGGACAGUCCAACACUGGUGCGGUCCUCCUGCUUCACAGUCCCACGCUGCCCCAGUCCAAGACGCCAUUUGUGGACAGCCCCAUUUUGGAGGGGUAGGGCUGGGGCCAGUGCCGGUGCCCCUGGAACACUGCCACUGCUCUCUGGGUGCCGUGGGGGCCAGUGAGGAGCCCAGGGCUGCAGGGAGCCAUGUUCAUCGGCUGCGGCCACGUCUCCUGCUGCACCAAGUGGGCCGCUUUCUUGGUCCGCUCCCACUUGGGUGUGAUGGGCACCCAGUCCUCGUGCUGGCCACUGCGCUGACACAGCCAGCUUCACCUAGCGUGGCUGUUGGUGGGCUGGAACACCCUGGCACAGCAGCAGCUUCCUCUUCCUGGCUGGGAUGCUGCCAGGGUGCUGCUUGCGCCCGCUACUCUUGCCUUUUGUGCCGGCGCAGGCGGGCGUUGGGCGCUUGGCCGGCUCGGUGUCGUCCCCAUGCUGCGUGCUUGCCACGCGGCAGGAGACGCAGCUGGGUGGAAGUGCCAAGCAGCUGAGAACCACGCGGGGCUGCUUCUGCCGUGCCUCUUCCAUGAGUUGUCCAGUGUGCACCAAAGGAGGCACGCAAUGCUUGGCCGGCUUGGUGCUGUCCCCGUGCUGCUGGUCUGCCACGUGGCAGGAGACACAGCAGGGUGGAAGUGCCAGGCGGCUGAGGACCACACGGGGCUGCCUGCGCCGUGCCUCUUCCAUGAGAUGUGCCGUGCGGGGCGAAGGAGGCGUGGGGGCAGCCAGGGAGCUCAGCAGGGACAGGUGUGGAGGUGUGACGGGGGCCAGCAGCAAAGGGCUGCGGGGCAGCAGCUCAGAGAGCUGACCAGGGGAUGCUGGCUGCCCCCAGAAUGGGUCGCUGAGGGUCCCGGUGGCAGCCUGUGUCUCUUUGCUGAGCUCCCUGCUGCUCCUGGGGAAGUCAGGGAGCUCUGCGAUGAAAGGAGAUGAGUCCAGACUGCUGGGGACAUCCAGGCUCGGUGGCUCCGUGGCUGCGAUCCACCUCCUCAGCUCUUCAUGGUCACGGCUGUCCAGUUCCCGCAGCAGCUGCUUCCCAAGAUUUUCCUCUUGCACCGUGGCAGCAUCUCUGCUCUCCUCCCUUGGGACAACAGGCAGGUCCUGGUUCUCCUGCGGGACCUCCAGAGUGCUCAGCUCUUCGGAAAAAGCAAGAACAUCCCAAGAAUGACGAUGGCAGCCUUCCCACAGCCUCUCUCUGCAGACACCCACCCACCAGCUCCACAGCCCCCACACUCACCCUCGCUGAUCCAUGUGAGCACAUGGCCCAUUUCCACGUUGUCGUCCAGAAUGUCAGUGCUCGCUGUCGCUCCUGGGAAAGGAAGAAAAUGCCCAGCAGGGCAAUGCCAGCUGUUGCUCACCCACUCAGUGCAGACACCCGCUUGCCAGUUCUUCGUCGCCCACACUCACCCUCGUUGAUCCAGCUGAGCAGAUCAUCGACGUCUGCGAAGCCAUCCGCAGUAUCUGCGCCAGUCGUUGCAUCUGGAAAAAAGAAGAAAAUGCCCAGCGGGGCAAUGCCAGCUUUCCUGCAGCCCCGUGCAGUAGACAGCCUGCCUCCUGCCCUGCAGCCCCUGAACUCACCGCCUGAUUGCAGCAUGGCUGCGCUGCAGUUUUUGCUCCUGGACGAACAGAAGUGAUGAGGAAUGGUUGUGGAUACAAGGAACUUGAAGGAAUCCACCUUGUUCAGACCAGCUCAGCCCUCAGAAGAUGCUGUCUGCCCCAGUUUCUGCAGAGCUUCACACUAUGGGCCAGGGGCACAAGCACGCAUAUGUGCACCUGACAACUGCAGGGAGCUUGCUUUGCAAAAGCAAAAGAAUUCAGAGGUCAGCUGGCGCUAGAAGUGGACGGCAUCCAGUGUGAAUGAAGGUCAGUGCAGGAGCAGCUGCUGCUGGGAGGAAGGAAGUGCAGGCUGAUGGACGCUUACACUUCUCCUGGUACGGCACCAGAGGAGGCAGCAGUGAUGCUGGGGAGCAGUUGCUGAAGAACACGAGGAACUCCUCAGCAGGAAGCCACAGACCCUGCAGAAAGCUGCAGCAGACUCAGAGCACGCGUGGAUGCCCAGGAGGAAAUGCAGGCCCAGCGUUUGAGCAGCGCCUGGCCACGGAGUGCUGCGGCCCAAGAACAAAGCUGUUGUGCCUUUGCCCAGAUGGCUUCCCACAGUGGAAUUGUCUGUCCUCAUGAAAACCAGAGGGCUGACUCAUCCGAAUGCUGGCUGACUGCUUGGAAGCCCAAAUCCUUCUGGCCUCCAAUCUGGGGGCAGCCUGGGUGCAACAUCUCCUGGGUCUGGUCAUCUUAAUUUCUCUGUUUUGUUACUUCAGAUAACCCCAUUGGGUGGCCGUCGUGUUGUCUUCUUAAAAUUUGGUGCCAGGCCUGGUGACUUUGGGCCAGAGCCCAAAAGGCUGCAUCCAGCCCAGGGGCUCACAGCCACAGCCCCAGUUAGAGAGGCUGGCACACGCCCUGGGCCUAAAGAUGCUAAAGAUGUCCUAAAGGACAUCACAGACAUCCAGGGUUUGCUCUCUUGGAUCAAUGGUGAGUUUGGGGCUGCAGAGCUGCAGGUGUGUGUUUGCACAGAGUAGGUGUGGGAAGGCUCUCAUCACCAUUUGGGGGAUGUUUUUGCAUUUUCAGACGUGGCAAGAGCUGCUGAGGUCCCCCAUGAGAACCCCAGCAGCCCUGCCCCAGGAUGUUUCGUCGCUGAGCUCCCUGACAACCUCCAGGACAGCAGAGAGCUCAGCACACAGGCUGCCACCGGGACACCCACCGACCCUUUCUGGGGGCUUCCUCCAUCCCCUGGGUUCCUGCCUGAGCUGCAGUGCGGGCUGUCGGAGCAGCACCCCGUCAUGCCACCAGCAAGCGCCCGGCUCAGCCCACGGCCAACCACCCUGGCUGUCAGCGCACCUCCCUCAGUGCAAACCGCACAGCCCACUGAGGAGGUGCAGCAAAGGCAGCCCCAGGAGGUUCAGGCUCACUCGCCCCUGUCGCCAGCCUCUGUCCCCAGCCAGGGGGCAGAAAAGAAGAACAGGGGCAGCACCAAGCGGGGGGCCAAGCGCCUUGCGCCUGCCGGCACCCUGCAAAAAGGGGAGAGCUCCCAGCAGGAGCAGCCCACCAGCAGCGCUCCUGCCAAGAAAAGGAAGCUGCCACCCUGCGGGGAAAGAACAGAGAGGAAAGGCUGCAAACAGCCGUGCUAAGCAAAACUGUCUGGGGCCGGCGCAGGAGCCAGCAGCAGCCAAGCGGGCACUGCCAGCGAGCUGCACAAGCACCUGCAGCAAUGCAUCCAGGCCGUGCACCCGCUGGGGCAGAGGGUGACUGCGGUGGGCCCAGUGCGCCAGCCACCCUCUGUGCAGCCCCAACCCUCAGCCAGCGCUGGCCCUGCUGCCCUCCAGCCCCAAGACAGCCAUGCAGACAAGGCAGCGCCGGCAUCUCCAGGCAUCACAGUGCAGGAGGAGGGCGCUGCCAAGAAGGCGCCGCCGA